rnacentral:tRNA from 1 species
GUCUCUAUAGUUUAAAUUAAAAUUCUAUCUUUGUAAGUUAGAGAUGGCUUCCUAGAGAUA